GACGAACGCUGGCGGCGUGCUUAACACAUGCAAGUCGAACGGAAAGGCCCUGCUUUUGUGGGGUGCUCGAGUGGCGAACGGGUGAGUAACACGUGAGUAACCUGCCCUUGACUUUGGGAUAACUUCAGGAAACUGGGGCUAAUACCGGAUAGGAGCUCCUGCUGCAUGGUGGGGGUUGGAAAGUUUCGGCGGUUGGGGAUGGACUCGCGGCUUAUCAGCUUGUUGGUGGGGUAGUGGCUUACCAAGGCUUUGACGGGUAGCCGGCCUGAGAGGGUAACCGGCCACAUUGGGACUGAGAUACGGCCCAGACUCCUACGGGAGGCAGCAGUGGGGAAUAUUGCACAAUGGGCGGAAGCCUGAUGCAGCAACGCCGCGUGCGGGAUGACGGCCUUCGGGUUGUAAACCGCUUUCGCCUGUGACGAAGCGUGAGUGACGGUAAUGGGUAAAGAAGCACCGGCUAACUACGUGCCAGCAGCCGCGGUGAUACGUAGGGUGCGAGCGUUGUCCGGAUUUAUUGGGCGUAAAGGGCUCGUAGGUGGUUGAUCGCGUCGGAAGUGUAAUCUUGGGGCUUAACCCUGAGCGUGCUUUCGAUACGGGUUGACUUGAGGAAGGUAGGGGAGAAUGGAAUUCCUGGUGGAGCGGUGGAAUGCGCAGAUAUCAGGAGGAACACCAGUGGCGAAGGCGGUUCUCUGGGCCUUUCCUGACGCUGAGGAGCGAAAGCGUGGGGAGCGAACAGGCUUAGAUACCCUGGUAGUCCACGCUGUAAACGGUGGGUACUAGGUGUGGGGUCCAUUCCACGGGUUCCGUGCCGUAGCUAACGCUUUAAGUACCCCGCCUGGGGAGUACGGCCGCAAGGCUAAAACUCAAAGGAAUUGACGGGGCCCCGCACAAGCGGCGGAGCAUGCGGAUUAAUUCGAUGCAACGCGUAGAACCUUACCUGGGUUUGACAUGGAUCGGGAGUGCUCAGAGAUGGGUGUGCCUCUUUUGGGGUCGGUUCACAGGUGGUGCAUGGCUGUCGUCAGCUCGUGUCGUGAGAUGUUGGGUUAAGUCCCGCAACGAGCGCAACCCUUGUUCACUGUUGCCAGCACGUUAUGGUGGGGACUCAGUGGAGACCGCCGGGGUCAACUCGGAGGAAGGUGGGGAUGACGUCAAGUCAUCAUGCCCCUUAUGUCCAGGGCUUCACGCAUGCUACAAUGGCUGGUACAGAGAGUGGCGAGCCUGUGAGGGUGAGCGAAUCUCGGAAAGCCGGUCUCAGUUCGGAUUGGGGUCUGCAACUCGACCUCAUGAAGUCGGAGUCGCUAGUAAUCGCAGAUCAGCAACGCUGCGGUGAAUACGUUCCCGGGGCUUGUACACACCGCCCGUCAAGUCAUGAAAGUUGGUAACACCCGAAGCCGGUGGCCUAACCGUUGUGGGGGAGCCGUCGAAGGUGGGACUGGUGAUUAGGACUAAGUCGUAACAAGGUAGCCGUACCGGAAGG
rnacentral:rRNA from 1 species